GAUCAUAACUCACAAUGUUCUUUGCCGAUAAGCAGCUGGUUGAUCAGAGAAAACUUGGCCAAAACCCAAUUGACGACUUAACUGGACUGGACUGGACUAAUCUCGACUUGGACAGAAUCUUGGCUUGAUCAUGUAGACACUGACGGGUCUGGACAGACUGAUCUGGACUCUGACAGAACCUCCUUUAGCUUCUUGACAGUUCUUCGGACUUCCCGACAGAGUAUCGAGCAGAACUUCGACUGAUCUGAAACCGUGGAACUGAACUAUAUCUGGACAUCACCUCCACUUGAUCAUCAAGGGAACUGGGUGGCCUGGACGAAUUCAUUUGGACAGAGCUUCUGCGUCACAAUCAUAUAGAAUUGCCGAUUGGACGGAACUGGCCUUCUCGGUGAGAAUCGACUAUACUCUAAGUCGGCCACUUUGUUUCUCUCUCCCUCUCUAGCCACGUUGACUUGCUUCCCAUCUGAACUGAUCUUCACUUGAUUGAUCUUUAGUUGGACAGAACCUUCCCUAGGCUCUGACUCGAAAUCGGUAGAGAACUGACCUCGAAAACUCUCUAAAACUCUCGAAAUAGCUCGGAAUCAUUUGCUUUCUUUUUCUACCUUUCUCUCACGUUUUUAACUGGCUUUGGACAGGUCUGGAUGUCUUCAAGUGAUCUGGGGUCGUGGCCUAUUUAUAGAAUACAGCAGCCAAUCAGAUUCAGGUUGGUGGCCGCCCGUGUGUCGCUCCGCAUGGCUCUGGACGCAUGCACGGCGACACCUCGUGCUCCACAUGUCCUUCAGCAUGGCCAGGACUCAUGCAGGGCGCAACCACUCCUCCUAGAUUUCAGGCUGCAUGACUGGAACUCAUGCAAGGCGCCACAGCAUCACACACAUAGCUGGCCGCAUGCUUCGGUUGCAUGCGUCGCGACAUCUCGUUCUUGGCCGCUGCACCUCGUGCUUCUGUGUGUCAGGCUGCAUGGACUGCUUCCAUGCACAUCUACACCUCCUCCUUGUGUUGACACUCAGCUACUGAUGUGAUAGACAGAACGUCCUGGCCAUAUGUAUAGAGACACCUCGCGCUUCUUAGUCGGUUUACGCGAUUUUUGACCCUUCCGGCAUAUUUUCGUCCUGCGAUCAAUCCCGAAUAUUUUUCUACUCCCGUUAUGUUUAGCUAAAUAUUUUUAAUAAAUUCCAAUCUGAACUCUGACCUUGGCGGUAAAUAUUUCCCGAUCCUUCGGCUCCAUCGAAAACUUUCAUAAUACCGAAAUUAGGGUUUUCGUCCAAUUUUAGGUUUUCCAGUCGUGCUUCGAUCCCGUCGUGCUUGCUUCCCGUCAUGCUUAAUUCUCGCCAUGUUUCCAAUGUCUUCGAAAUAAUAUUCCGCUGAUACGAAGUUUCGCGGAAAACUUCGUGCUGAAAAAACGUCAUUCUUCCAAAACGUCAAGCUUUUAAACCGUCGUGCUUCCAAAACGUUCGUCUCAUCAAUCUAAGACAUCUUCUAACUAUGGUCGAGAAACUUAUUCGACUCAUAGUUAACUCACGAUGAUUUCUUUGCCCACUUCGUACUUCAAAACUUCUCGAUCACCCGCGACUCGACCACCACAACGAUACUCGACCAUUCUCUCUCUCUCUUCUUUUUUUUAAUGGGUUUCUACAGUCGGGGGCAUUCGUAUUUCAUAGUCAGAGGUGAAAUUAUUGGAUUUAUGAAAGACGAACAACUGCGAAAGCAUUUGCCAAGGAUGUUUUCAUUAAUCAAGAACGAAAGUUAGGGGCUCGAAGACGAUCAGAUACCUUCCUAGUCUCAACCAUAAACGAUGCCGACCAGAGAUCAGCGGUUAGGACUCCGCUGGCACCUUAUGAGAAAUCAAAGUUUUUGGGUUUCGGGGGGAGUAUGGUCGCAAGGCUGAAACUUAAAGGAAUUGACGGAAGGGCACCACCAGUAGUGGAGCCUGCGGCUUAAUUUGACUCAACACGAGGAAAUUUACCAGGUCCAGAUAUAGUAAGGAUUGACAGACUGAGAGCGCUUUCUUGAUUCUAUGGGUGGUGGUGCAUGGUCGUUCUUAGUUGGUGGAGCGAUUUUUCUGGUUAAUUCCGUUAACGAACGAGACCUCAGCCAGCUAACUAGCUAUGUGGAGGCAUCCCUUCACGGCCGGCUUCUUAGAGGAACUAUGGCCGUUUAGGCCAAAGAAAGUUUGAGGCAAUACCAGGUCUGUGAUACCCUUAGAUGUUCUAGGCCGCACACGCGCUACACUGAUGUAUUCAACGAGUUCACACCUUGGCCGACAGGCCCGGGUAAUCUUUGAAAUUUCAUCGUGUGGGGAUAGAUCAUUGCAAUUUUUGGUCUUCAACAAGGAAUUCCUAGUAAGCGCGAGUCAUCAGCUCGCAUUGACUACAUACCAUAUCAUCAUCAGAUCAUUG
rnacentral:rRNA from 1 species